rnacentral:rRNA from 1 species
CUACGGGAGGCAGCAGUGGGGAAUAUUGCACAAUGGGCGCAAGCCUGAUGCAGCAACGCCGCGUGAACGAUGAAGGUCUUCGGAUCGUAAAGUUCUUUUCUUAGGGAAGAAAAAUGACGGUACCUAAGGAAUAAGCACCGGCUAAAUACGUGCCAGCAGCCGCGGUAAUACGUAUGGUGCAAGCGUUACCCGGAAUCACUGGGCGUAAAGGGAGCGUAGGCGGUUUUGCAAGUCAGAAGUGAAAGGCUACGGCUCAACCGUGGUAAGCUUUUGAAACUGCAGGACUAGAGUGCAGGAGAGGCAAGUGGAAUUCCUAGUGUAGAGGUGAAAUUCGUAGAUAUUAGGAGGAACACCAGUGGCGAAGGCGACUUGCUGGACUGUAACUGACGCUGAGGCUCGAAAGCGUGGGGAGCGAACAGGAUUAGAUACCCCCGUAGUC